rnacentral:RNase_P_RNA from 1 species
GGAGCAGCCCGGGUGAACGCCGGCCAUUGCAGGACGGGGUGGCGGGAGGAAAGUCCGGGCACCGAAGGGCAGGGUGCUGGCUAACGGCCAGUCGGCGCAAGCCGCAGGAAAGUGCCACAGAAAACAGACCUCCUGCUCGCAAGGGCAGGGAAGGGUGAAACGGUGCGGUAAGAGCGCACCGCGCGACUGGUGACAGCCGCGGCACGGCAAACCCCACCUGGUGCAAGAGCCAAUAGGGAAGCGUCACUCCGCAAGGGGUGACACGGGCGGCCCGUCCGAGGCUUCCGGGUUGCUUGCUGUUGAGGGCGUCGGCAACGGCGCUCCUAGACGAAUGUUCGCCGGCCUCGGGAAACCGGGGCGCACAAAACCCGGCUUACAGGGCUGCUCCAGCG